GACGAACGCUGGCGGCGUGCCUAAUACAUGCAAGUAGAACGCUGACGGAAGGAGCUUGCUCUUUCUGGAUGAGUUGCGAACGGGUGAGUAACGCGUAGGUAACCUGCCUGGUAGCGGGGGAUAACUAUUGGAAACGAUAGCUAAUACCGCAUAAAAUUGCUUAUUGCAUGAUAGUCAAUUAAAAGGUGCAACUGCACCACUACCAGAUGGACCUGCGUUGUAUUAGCUAGUUGGUGGGGUAACGGCUCACCAAGGCGACGAUACAUAGCCGACCUGAGAGGGUGAUCGGCCACACUGGGACUGAGGCACGGCCCAGACUCCUACGGGAGGCAGCAGUAGGGAAUCUUCGGCAAUGGACGGAAGUCUGACCGAGCAACGCCGCGUGAGGGAAGAAGGUUUUCGGAUCGUAAAGCUCUGUUGUAAGAGAAGAACGAGUGUGAGAGUGGAAAGUUCACACUGUGACGGUAUCUUACCAGAAAGGGACGGCUAACUACGUG
rnacentral:rRNA from 1 species